rnacentral:rRNA from 1 species
AUUGAACGCUGGCGGCAUGCUUUACACAUGCAAGUCGAACGGUAACAGGUCUUCGGAUGCUGACGAGUGGCGAACGGGUGAGUAAUGUAUCGGAACGUGCCCAGUAGUGGGGGAUAACUACUCGAAAGAGUGGCUAAUACCGCAUGAGAACUGAGGUUGAAAGCGGGGGACCUUCGGGCCUCGCGCUACUGGAGCGGCCGAUAUCAGAUUAGGUAGUUGGUGGGGUAAAGGCCGUACCAAGCCGACGAUCUGUAGCUGGUCUGAGAGGACGACCAGCCACACUGGGACUGAGACACGGCCCAGACUCCUACGGGAGGCAGCAGUGGGGAAUUUUGGACAAUGGACGCAAGUCUGAUCCAGCAAUGCCGCGUGCAGGACGAAGGCCUUCGGGUUGUAAACUGCUUUUGUACUAGAACGAAAAGUCUUUAAUAACACUAGAGGCUCAUGACGGUACUGUAAGAAUAAGCACCGGCUAACUACGUGCCAGCAGCCGUAC